GUGCUUAAACGCUGCCGCACAGGCAGGUCAGCUCAUCCAGUGGCGACUUAGUCUCUCUGCCGCACGCGGCGCCCAAAAAGCCUCCACGGCUUCCUGGCAGGAGAAACAGUGGGAAGCAGCGACGGCCUGAUUAGGCACGUGAUAAUCAGGCGUGUGAAGAGCAGGAUCGGUUACGCAGGUCCAGGACACCCUGGGGGGUGACGGAGAAGGGACGGAAGGUGCCAGAGGCUCGGAGCUCACUCACAGUGAGUGUGUGGACCAUUCCUGGAGUCACUCACCAGAACCUGGAAGUUCAUCUCCCUCCGGUCUGCUUUGUCUCCAUUUUCAGUUCUGCUUUGACUCCCAUUCCUCUCCUUCAUCUUUGUGGAGCCAUGGGCUCCUCGCAGAGCAAGAAGAAAUGGGACUGCACCCGAUAUCUGAACGGGAAUGCCCCAGUGGCCUCGCAAGCGAACGGGACGAGUCAGGCACCGUGGGCCGUGUGUCCCACCUGCGGCCAGACGACAGCGGGGGCUCCAGUCAAUGGCAGCAAUGGGACGGUCCCAUCCCAACCCGAGAAGGAGACCAACCUGUAGAGCGAAUUGGGUGGGAUUGGUGACGGGAGAUGCAAAUCACAUCCCUUGGUGUUGGGGAAGUGAAUCUCAGGUCACCGUGGAAACGGAGCAACCCACUCCUCCCUGCUGUGGGUAGAAGCCUGCUGGCCGUGCCCAUGGAGCUGCCACAGACAGAACCAGAUUUAGCUGCUUUGGCUUUAGUACCUGGCAUGCAGAGCCCUUGAAAAGAUGCCCCCUACUGGUCGGGUGAGGGAAAGCAUUCACAUGGACCCUGCCUGUUUUCCAACGCUGCUUUGCAUAUUUCCAGUGUUUCCUAUGACUUUACUGCUUUUUUACCUUGUUAUACCCUAUUUCCAACUAAUGGAUUCUACCACCAAUGUUAUCCCUAUCCUCUACUUGUCUUGUCUAAAAGUGUGAAUUGUAAAAAGGACUAAUUAUGUAAAAGAUAAAUAAUGCAAAACUGUGAAACUAUUUUCAGCUCCUCCCGUUUGGCUGUAGAUGACUGAUCAAUAAACAUUUGCCUUUCCAACGCA